rnacentral:rRNA from 1 species
ACGAACGCUGGCGGCGUGGAUAAGACAUGCAAGUCGAACGAGAGAAUUGCUAGCUUGCUAAUAAUUCUCUAGUGGCGCACGGGUGAGUAACACGUGAGUAACCUGCCCCCGAGAGCGGGAUAGCCCUGGGAAACUGGGAUUAAUACCGCAUAGUAUCGAAAGAUUAAAGCAGCAAUGCGCUUGGGGAUGGGCUCGCGGCCUAUUAGUUAGUUGGUGAGGUAACGGCUCACCAAGGCGAUGACGGGUAGCCGGUCUGAGAGGAUGUCCGGCCACACUGGAACUGAGACACGGUCCAGACACCUACGGGUGGCAGCAGUCGAGAAUCAUUCACAAUGGGGGAAACCCUGAUGGUGCGACGCCGCGUGGGGGAAUGAAGGUCUUCGGAUUGUAAACCCCUGUCAUGUGGGAGCAAAUUAAAAAGAUAGUACCACAAGAGGAAGAGACGGCUAACUCUGUGCCAGCAGCCGCGGUAAUACAGAGGUCUCAAGCGUUGUUCGGAAUCACUGGGCGUAAAGCGUGCGUAGGCUGUUUCGUAAGUCGUGUGUGAAAGGCGCGGGCUCAACCCGCGGACGGCACAUGAUACUGCGAGACUAGAGUAAUGGAGGGGGAACCGGAAUUCUCGGUGUAGCAGUGAAAUGCGUAGAUAUCGAGAGGAACACUCGUGGCGAAGGCGGGUUCCUGGACAUUAACUGACGCUGAGGCACGAAGGCCAGGGGAGCGAAAGGGAUUAGAUACCCCUGUAGUCCUGGCAGUAAACGGUGCACGCUUGGUGUGCGGGGAAUCGACCCCCUGCGUGCCGGAGCUAACGCGUUAAGCGUGCCGCCUGGGGAGUACGGUCGCAAGAUUAAAACUCAAAGAAAUUGACGGGGACCCGCACAAGCGGUGGAGUAUGUGGCUUAAUUCGAUGCAACGCGAAGAACCUUACCUGGGCUUGACAUGUAAUGAACAACAUGUGAAAGCAUGCGACUCUUCGGAGGCGUUACACAGGUGCUGCAUGGCCGUCGUCAGCUCGUGUCGUGAGAUGUUUGGUUAAGUCCAGCAACGAGCGCAACCCCUGUUGCCAGUUACCAGCACGUGAAGGUGGGGACUCUGGCGAGACUGCCCAGAUCAACUGGGAGGAAGGUGGGGACGACGUCAGGUCAGUAUGGCCCUUAUGCCCAGGGCUGCACACGUACUACAAUGCCCAGUACAGAGGGGGCCGAAGCCGCGAGGCGGAGGAAAUCCUGAAAACUGGGCCCAGUUCGGACUGUAGGCUGCAACCCGCCUACACGAAGCCGGAAUCGCUAGUAAUGGCGCAUCAGCUACGGCGCCGUGAAUACGUUCCCGGGUCUUGUACACACCGCCCGUCACAUCAUGGAAGCCAGUCGCACCCGAAGUAUCUGAAGCCAACCGCAAGGAGGCAGGGUCCUAAGGUGAGACUGGUAACUGGGAUG